rnacentral:snRNA from 1 species
UGGUUUCUCUCAGAUCAUAUAAAUCUUUCGCCUUUUACUAAAGAUUUCCGUGGAGAGGUUUAAAAAA